AACACCGCUUUGAAAUAGGUGUAACUUCCCACUGGCAAAAUCAUCACUUCAAUUUCACUGUUGUGCACUACACUCGCCAUUACUUCAUCAAUGAAAACCUUCUCCCUUCUGUCUAUAUCUCUAUAAAGAAUCUCCUGAAUUGUACAUGAUUAAUGCAGAGACAUGGUAUAGCGGAGUUGGUUCAUUUGUAGAUUAGACAUUAAUUUUCUUUUGCAUUAUCGUAUGUACAAAAGGUUUUUCCCAUAUUCUCUCUUUUCUUAAUUUAUAUUCCUAUUGUUCUCAACAAAUCCCUUUUGGAUUUGUUGGCAAUUAAUAAUUCGGGUCGGGUUCAUAUUUAUCUCAUUAUUGCCAAUAUCUUCAUUACUUUCAAACCAACACUGUUGCUAAUGCCGAAAUCAAAUUGUCUUUUGUAGCAAUAGUUUAUCAAUUGGAUCAUAGCUGUGCUAGAAAUGUUAUUCAACGAUCAGAUCCCUGUUUCUCUUCAGCAUGGUUCAAUAAUUAAAAGUACUUCAAAAGUUUAUUACCAAUUUCUCAAAAAACAAAAUUGCGGGUCAAUACAAGAAUGGAAUAGGUGUUGAAAUUAUGUUAUUAGUUGACAAUUUCUGUUUGAAUCCAAGAUUAUAAGUUGCCAUGCUUGUUUCAUUGUGCAAUCGAUAGAUGAUAGAUCAUGUUUCUACAUCAUACAGUCUGGUACGGUUCUUUAUAGAUUUUCAAAUAAUUCACGCCUUACUUUCCCUUGGAUUAUUGAUCGUCUUUCUGUCAAAACAUUAAUCGUUCCCACUUAAAUACAUUUUUGUUGUGACAUCAUUUAACUUGAUGUGGUAUUUGGAUCUUCAUCUCUACUUUCUCACAAGUAAAUGUUGUUUGGGUAAUUGGUAAGGGUCUUGGACUAUGGUUUUCAAGAUUAGAUGGCCUGCUUGACUGGCCAAUCCUCUUAAGUUGGUAAGAACAAAUAAAAAAAAAUCUUUAAUCUUCUGAGGUGAUAGAGAGGCGUUGUGGUUUCCUUAUCGCAACACGUGCGACAGAAGAGAAGAACUCAAUUGUAACAGUUUUGCUUCUUCCUUGUAAUUCCAAAAGGCAUAAUACAUUCUUUGUAACCUAAUUGAUCAGUAGUAGAUGAAGAUUUGUGCAAACAUAUUAUUGCUGCAGUAUUUUACUCGCACAGAAAAUGGUCACUUGUCUAUCUCGGGGUAAUGGUUAUUUGGUUUCUGUUGUUAUCCUAGAAGUCAGAAGUAAAAGUCGUCUUUUCACAGGUUUUGAGAAAUCUUGUCACUUUAAAUAUAAGAAACUGGAGAAGAGAGAUAGUGAGAGCCAUCUAUGAAAAAGUCUAGUGUAAAGUAAGCCCAAAAACGAUUUGAUACUUCAUGUUUGAGUCGGUAUCUCGCUCAACUUGAAUCUAUUGAGAAGGUGUUUACUGGAUUCUCCCACUAUUAUAGUCAAAGUGUCUCCAUACUAAUUUAAAUUAUGCAGAAGGUUGUGAAUGUUCAUCCAAGACACUGCAGACGUUCAUGAAAAUCCAUGGAAGUUGUAAGUAUUAAUAAUAUUCCUCAUGUUUUUUUGGUUGAUGAUGUACAUAAGAUUCGGUACUGGACAUGAGGUUGGCAAAUGCAAAUAGGCAUACUGGAAACAUUUUGGCUCAGAAAGAUUAUAAGGAUAGUCAGCUUGUGCUUAUUCCAAUUGAUCAUGGCUACUCUUUGCCUCAAAAUGAUACCAACACUUUUUGCGUAUGAGGGUGGUGCCUGAUUUUGCAGAAAGGCCUUGAAACCUAUUUGGGUGAGCCAAAUGCUAAAGCAGAAAGGCCUGUCUGAGCCAAAUGCUUCAUUAGUGAUGGAGAGAAAUGUUUAGAUACACACUGCUUAUUAUUAUUUUUAAUUUGUAUAGUGUUCAUUAUAAAAUAAACUGCUCCAGGAUAUGCAUUAAAAAUAUUUAUAUACUAUUUAAUAAUUUUUAUU